AGAGUUUGAUCCUGGCUCAGGAUAAACGCUGGCGGCGUGCCUAACACAUGCAAGUCGAACGCCCUGUGCUUCGGUACAGGGAGUGGCGGACGGGUGAGGAACACGUGGGUCAUCUACCUUGGGGUGAGGAAUACCGGCGAGAAAUCGCCGACAAUACCGCAUACGUUCGGGCAACCGAGCAAAGCCUGGCAACAGGUGCCACAAGAUGAGCUCGCGACCGAUUAGCUAGCUGGUGAGGUAAUGGCUCACCAGGGCGACGAUCGGUAGCUGGUCUGAGAGGACGAUCAGCCACACUGGGAUUGAGAACGGCCCAGACUCCUACGGGGGGCAGCAGUGAGGAAUUUUCGUCAAUGGGGGCAACCCUGAACGAGCAACGCCGCGUGCAGGAAGAAGGUUUUCGGAUCGUAAACUGCUUUUCUGAGGGACGAGCAAGGACGGUACCUCAGGAAGAAGCCCCGGCUAACUACGUGCCAGCAGCCGCGGUAAUACGUAGGGGGCGAGCGUUGUCCGGAGUUAUUGGGCGUAAAGCGCACGCAGGCGGUCUUUAACGUUCGGAGUGACAGUCGUCGGCUUAACUGACGAAGCGCUUGGAAAACGGGAAGACUUGAGAGCUCAAGAGGGACACGGAAUUCCGGGUGGAGUGGUGAAAUGCGUAGAUAUCCGGAGGAACACCAAAGGCGUAGGCAGUGUCCUGGGGAGUUUCUGACGCUCAGGUGCGAAAGCCAGGGGAGCGAACGGGAUUUAGAUACCCCGGUAGUCCUGGCCGUAAACGAUGACCACUAGGCGUAGGGGGUAUCGACCCCUUCUGUGCCGCAGUUAACACGAUAAGUGGUCCGCCUGGGGAGUACGGUCGCAAGAUUAAAACUCAAAGGAAUUGACGGGGACCCGCACAAGCAGCGGAGCGUGUGGUUUAAUUCGAUGCAACGCGAAGAACCUUACCAGGGUUUGACAUGGGCCAGAUCGCGGCGGAAACGUCGUUCCCUUCGGGGCUGGUUCACAGGUGCUGCAUGGCUGUCGUCAGCUCGUGUCGUGAGAUGUUGGGUUAAGUCCCGCAACGAGCGCAACCCCUGUCGUCGGUUGAAUAUAUCCGGCGAGACUGCCACGAUCAACGUGGAGGAAGGCGGGGAUGACGUCAAGUCAGCACGGCCCUUACAUCCUGGGCGACACACACGCUACAAUGGCCGGUACAGAGGGUCGCCAACCCGCGAGGGGGAGCCAAUCCCAGCAAAACCGGUCUCAGUUCAGAUUGGAGGCUGCAACUCGCCUCCAUGAAGUUGGAGUUGCUAGUAACCGUGAGUCAGCACAUCACGGUGAAUACGUUCCCGGGUCUUGCACACACCGCCCGUC
rnacentral:rRNA from 1 species